ACAUUCAGUGGCCAUCCGGGGCGACGGACCUUCCAGCUUGGAACCAUGGCCCAGUUUGUCCGUAACCUCGAGGAGAAGGCCCCAGCGCUGGUGAACGCUACUGUGACUUACUCAAAGCCUCAACUGGCCACAUUUUGGCACUAUGCCAGGGUUGAGCUGGUUCCUCCAACCCCUGUUGAGAUCCCUACAGCUAUUCAGAGCUUGAAAAAAAUAGUCAAGAGUGCUCAGACUGGUAGCUUCAAACAGCUCACAGUUAAGGAAGCUCUGCUGAAUGGUUUGGUGGCCACCGAGGUGUGGACAUGGUUUUAUGUCGGCGAGAUCAUAGGCAAACGUGGCAUCAUUGGCUAUAAUGUUUGAAGGCUAAUCUUUAACAUCUGUUUAUAUGUGACUUAUUAUUUGAGUGUUCUUGGACCAUGUGUGAUCAGACUGGUAUUUGAAUAAAAGAAGAUAAUGUAUCAAAAAAAAAA